rnacentral:tRNA from 1 species
GGGGCAUUGGCGCAGUUGGGAGCGCGCAACAUUCGCAUUGUUGAGGCCGUGAGUUCGAAUCUCAUAUGCUCCA